rnacentral:rRNA from 1 species
UACAGAGGUCCCGAGCGUUGUUCGGAUUCAUUGGGCGUAAAGGGUGCGUAGGCGGUCUUCUAAGUUUGAUGUGAAAGCCUGGGGCUCAACCCUGGAAUGGCAUUGAAUACUGGAGGACUAGAGUACUGGAGAGGAAACUGGAAUUUACGGUGUAGCAGUGAAAUGCGUAGAGAUCGUAAGGAAGACCAGUGGCGAAGGCGGGUCUCUGGACAGUUCCUGACGCUCAUGCACGAAGGCCAGGGGAGCAAACGGG